rnacentral:pre_miRNA from 1 species
AAAAAAACAAACCGUGGGUUCCCGUGCCAACGUUUGACUAUCCGUCUUAUAUGAAAUUUUUUUAUAAUUAGUAUUUUCAUUGUUGUUAGAUGAUAAAACAUGAGUAAUACUUUAUGUGUGACUUAUCUUUUUAAUUUUUUUCAUAAUUUUUUUAAAUAAGACAGACGGUCAAACGUUGGACACGGAAACCAGGGUUUAUA